rnacentral:rRNA from 1 species
GAUGAACGCUGGCGGCGUGCCUAAUACAUGCAAGUCGAGCGAACGGACGAGAAGCUUGCUUCUCUGAUGUUAGCGGCGGACGGGUGAGUAACACGUGGAUAACCUACCUAUAAGACUGGGAUAACUUCGGGAAACCGGAGCUAAUACCGGAUAAUAUUUUGAACCGCAUGGUUCAAAAGUAAAAGACGGUCUUGCUGUCACUUAUAGAUGGAUCCGCGCUGCAUUAGCUAGUUGGUAAGGUAACGGCUUACCAAGGCAACGAUGCAUAGCCGACCUGAGAGGGUGAUCGGCCACACUGGAACUGAGACACGGUCCAGACUCCUACGGGAGGCAGCAGUAGGGAAUCUUCCGCAAUGGGCGAAAGCCUGACGGAGCAACGCCGCGUGAGUGGUGAAGGUCUUCGGAUCGUAAAACUCUGUUAUUAGGGAAGAAUAUAUGUGUAAGUAACUGUGCACAUCUUGACGGUACCUAAUCAGAAAGCCACGGCUAACUACGUGCCAGCAGCCGCGGUAAUACGUAGGUGGNCAGCGUUAUCCGGAAUUAUUGGGCGUAAAGCGCGCGUAGGCGGUUUUUUAAGUCUGAUGUGAAAGCCCACGGCUCAACCGUGGAGGGUCAUUGGAAACUGGAAAACUUGAGUGCAGAAGAGGAAAGUGGAAUUCCAUGUGUAGCGGUGAAAUGCGCAGAGAUAUGGAGGAACACCAGUGGCGAAGGCGACUUUCUGGACUGUAACUGACGCUGAUGUGCGAAAGCGUGGGGAUCAAACAGGAUUAGAUACCCUGGUAGUCCACGCCGUAAACGAUGAGUGCUAAGUGUUAGGGGGUUUCCGCCCCUUAGUGCUGCAGCUAACGCAUUAAGCACUCCGCCUGGGGAGUACGACCGCAAGGUUGAAACUCAAAGGAAUUGACGGGGACCCGCACAAGCGGUGGAGCAUGUGGUUUAAUUCGAAGCAACGCGAAGAACCUUACCAAAUCUUGACAUCCUUUGACAACUCUAGAGAUAGAGCCUUCCCCUUCGGGGGACAAAGUGACAGGUGGUGCAUGGUUGUCGUCAGCUCGUGUCGUGAGACGUUGGGUUAAGUCCCGCAACGAGCGCAACCCUUAAGCUUAGUUGCCAUCAUUAAGUUGGGCACUCUAAGUUGACUGCCGGUGACAAACCGGAGGAAGGUGGGGAUGACGUCAAAUCAUCAUGCCCCUUAUGAUUUGGGCUACACACGUGCUACAAUGGACAAUACAAAGGGCAGCGAAACCGCGAGGUCAAGCAAAUCCCAUAAAGUUGUUCUCAGUUCGGAUUGUAGUCUGCAACUCGACUACAUGAAGCUGGAAUCGCUAGUAAUCGUAGAUCAGCAUGCUACGGUGAAUACGUUCCCGGGUCU